UACGGGGGGGGCAAGCGUUGUUCGGAAUUACUGGGCGUAAAGGGCUCGUAGGCGGCCAACUAAGUCAGACGUGAAAUCCCUCGGCUUAACCGGGGAACUGCGUCUGAUACUGGAUGGCUUGAAUCCGGGAGAGGGAUGCGGAAUUCCAGGUGUAGCGGUGAAAUGCGUAGAUAUCUGGAGGAACACCGGUGGCGAAGGCGGCAUCCUGGACCGGUAUUGACGCUGAGUGAGCGAAAGCCAGGGGAGCAAAGCGGG
rnacentral:rRNA from 1 species